rfam:Triticum aestivum genome assembly, contig: Triticum_aestivum_CS42_TGACv1_scaffold_557056_7AL
CAACUACUCCCUCCGUUCGGAAUUACUUGUCUCAGAAAUGGAUAUAUCUAGACAUCUAGAUAUAUCCAUUUCUGAGACAAGUAAUUCCGAAUGAAGGGAGUAGUCA